UUACAAACAAUAUUUAACAUCAAUUUAACACAGUUGACAUAUAUAUGUUUAAAGUUUUUUUAUAAUUCACACAGCAAAUAAGAAAAUGUAAUCAAGCGAUAAGCUAAAUAACUGUUGUUAAGAAAAUAAAUCGCUUUCAUGUGCUAUUAUUCAAAGGCAAAUACAAUUUAAAUUUAUGACGACACAUUUAAAAUAUAUUAUUGUAUUUGCGAGUUUGGUUAAUAUUUUAUUUGGACAUACCGUUCUAAAACAGGACAGAUAUGACAACAUUGAAACGUCAAACGACCUUGUGCAUUUCAGAGGACCAAGACAUGUUAAACUAGCCACUGAGACUACACUGACGCAUGUAUUAAAUGAAAUAGCGCGAAAGUAUCCUGAUAUAAGACAAAAUGGCGACAAACAGUCGAUAGAUAAAGUGAAAAAACAAAUAAGAGCAAAACUAAGACGAUAUUUUAAGGA